AGUGAACGCUGGCGGUAGGCCUAACACAUGCAAGUCGAACGGCAGCACAGUAAGAGCUUGCUCUUACGGGUGGCGAGUGGCGGACGGGUGAGGAAUACAUCGGAAUCUACUUUUUCGUGGGGGAUAACGUAGGUAAACUUACGCUAAUACCGCAUACGACCUACGGGUGAAAGCAGGGGAUCUUCGGACCUUGCGCGAUUGAAUGAGCCGAUGUCGGAUUAGCUAGUGGGCGGGGUAAAGGCCCACCAAGGCGACGAUCCGUAGCUGGACUGAGAGGAUGAUCAGCCACACUGGAAGUGGGACACGGUCCAGACGACUACGGGAGGCAGCAGUGGGGAAUAGUGGACAAUGGGGGGAAGCCUGGUCCAGCCAUACCGCGUGGGUGAAGAAGGCCUUCGGGUUGUAAAGACCUUUUGUUGGGAAAGAAAAGCAGCAGGUUAAUACCCAGCUGUUCUGACGGUACCCAAAGAAUAAGCACCGGCUAACUUCGUG
rnacentral:rRNA from 1 species